rnacentral:tRNA from 1 species
GCCUGGGUGGCUCAGUCGGUUAAGCGACUGACUUCAACUCAGGUGAUGAUGAUCUCUUGGUUCGUGAGUUUGAGCCCCGCCUCGGGCU